UUAAACUUGAGAGUUUGAUCAUGGCUCAGAAUGUACGCUGGCGGCACGCCUAACACAUGCAAGUCGAGCGAGGUACUUGUACCUAGCGGCAGACGGGUGCGUAACAUGUGGGUAUCUGCCUUUUGGUUCGGAACAACAUGGGGAAACCUGUGCUAAUACCGGAUAAGUCCUUACGGAGAAAGAUUUAUCGCCGAAAGAUGAGCCCGCACUAGAUUAGCUUGUUGGUAAGGUAAAAGCUUACCAAGGCUACGAUCUAUAGCUGAUUUGAGAGGAUGAUCAGCCACACUGGGACUGAGACACGGCCCAGACUCCUACGGGAGGCAGCAGUGGGGAAUCUUGCACAAUGGAGGAAACUCUGAUGCAGCGAUGCCGCGUGAGUGAAGAAGGCCCUUGGGUUGUAAAGCUCUUUUGUCGGGAAAGAUAAUGACUGUACCCGAAGAAUAAGGUCCGGCUAACUUCGUGCCAGC
rnacentral:rRNA from 1 species